rnacentral:rRNA from 1 species
UGGGGAAUCUUCCGCAAUGGACGAAAGUCUGACGGAGCAACGCCGCGUGAGUGAUGACGGCCUUCGGGUUGUAAAGCUCUGUUAAUCGGGACGAAUGGUUCUUGUGCGAAUAGUGCAAGGAUUUGACGGUACCGGAAUAGAAAGCCACGGCUAACUACGUGCCAGCAGCCGCGGUAAUACGUAGGUGGCAAGCGUUGUCCGGAGUUAUUGGGCGUAAAGCGCGCGCAGGCGGAUUGGUCAGUCUGUCUUAAAAGUUCGGGGCUUAACCCCGUGAUGGGAUGGAAACUGGCAAUCUAGAGUAUCGGAGAGGAAAGUGGAAUUCCUAGUGUAGCGGUGAAAUGCGUAGAUAUUAGGAAGAACACCAGUGGCGAAGGCGACUUUCUGGACGAAAACUGACGCUGAGGCGCGAAAGCCAGGGGAGCGAACGGG